UAUAUUCAUGAAGUGUUUUCAAGUGGAUCCAGCUGCCGUUACUGACCAGUGAACUGAACUGCUGAUUUCCUGACAACACAGAUGAGAUUUGCUCCAAAGAACCAUUUCUAAACAGCGUCUUGGUUUCUUCCAGGUCACAGGCCACUAAGCUCCAGAUCUCCCGUUUGUACUGCCUCAGGGAUAUCAACCAUUACCAUCAACGCUGGCGCCUGCCUCCUACCAUCUAGAAGUUCUUGACCUUCAAUUGAUGUCAGUCUUGUCUUCAACCGUUUAAGAUAUGCUCUCCCUCUCCUCAUGCAAGUCUGACAACUGGGGAUCAGGUCAGCAAUGCAAAGCAGGGUCCUUCCAUGCUCAGAAUGGAUGGAUGUAGAGGGAAAGGUCAAAAACAAGGGUGGACGUUUCCAAACUUCAAUAAUUAAACUCUGACACCUUGGAGCCUGA
ensembl:lincRNA Gm11195 predicted gene 11195